rnacentral:rRNA from 1 species
UACGUAGGGGGGCAAGCGUUGUCCGGAAUCAUUGGGCGUAAAGAGCGCGUAGGCGGCCCUGUAAGUCCGCUGUGAAAGUCAAGGGCUCAACCCUUGAAUGCCGGUGGAUACUGUCGGGGCUAGAGUACGGAAGAGGCGAGUGGAAUUCCUGGUGUAGCGGUGAAAUGCGCAGAUAUCAGGAGGAACACCGAUUGCGAAGGCAGCUCGCUGGGACGUCACUGACGCUGAGACGCGAAAGCGUGGGGAGCAAACAGG